UACGUAGGGACCAAGCGUUGUUCGGAUUUACUGGGCGUAAAGGGCGCGUAGGCGGCAAUUCAAGUCAUCUGUGAAAUCUCCGGGCUUAACUCGGAACGGUCAGAUGAUACUGCUUUGCUAGAGUACAGAAGGGGCAAUCGGAAUUCUUGGUGUAGCGGUGAAAUGCGUAGAUAUCAAGAGGAACACCUGAGGUGAAGACGGGUUGCUGGGCUGAUACUGACGCUGAGGCGCGAAAGCCAGGGGAGCGAACGGG
rnacentral:rRNA from 1 species